rnacentral:rRNA from 1 species
AUUGAACGCUGGCGGCAGGCCUAACACAUGCAAGUCGAACGGUAACAGGAAGCAGCUUGCUGCUUUGCUGACGAGUGGCGGACGGGUGAGUAAUGUCUGGGAAACUGCCUGAUGGAGGGGGAUAACUACUGGAAACGGUAGCUAAUACCGCAUAACGUUGCAAGACCAAAGAGGGGGACCUUCGGGCCUCUUGCCAUCGGAUGUGCCCAGAUGGGAUUAGCUAGUAGGUGGGGUAACGGCUCACCUAGGCGACGAUCCCUAGCUGGUCUGAGAGGAUGACCAGCCACACUGGAACUGAGACACGGUCCAGACUCCUACGGGAGGCAGCAGUGGGGAAUAUUGCACAAUGGGCGCAAGCCUGAUGCAGCCAUGCCGCGUGUAUGAAGAAGGCCUUCGGGUUGUAAAGUACUUUCAGCGGGGAGGAAGGGAGUAAAGUUAAUACCUUUGCUCAUUGACGUUACCCGCAGAAGAAGCACCGGCUAACUCCGUG